rnacentral:rRNA from 1 species
AGCGAACGCUGGCGGCAGGCCUAAUACACGCAAGUCGAACGGCCCUUCGGGGCAGUGGCGGACGGGUGAGUAACGCGUGGGAACGUGCCCUUUGGUACGGAACAACUGAGGGAAACUUCAGCUAAUACCGUAUGUGCCCUUCGGGGGAAAGAUUUAUCGCCAUUGGAGCGGCCCGCGUUGGAUUAGCUAGUUGGUGGGGUAAAGGCCCACCAAGGCUACGAUCCAUAGCUGGUCUGAGAGGAUGAUCAGCCACACUGGGACUGAGACACGGCCCAGACUCCUACGGGAGGCAGCAGUAGGGAAUCUUGCGCAAUGGGCGAAAGCCUGACGCAGCCAUGCCGCGUGAAUGAUGAAGGUCUUAGGAUUGUAAAAUUCUUUCACCGGGGAAGAUAAUGACGGUACCCGGAGAAGAAGCCCCGGCUAACUUCGUGCCAGCCGCCGCUGUAA